UGGGGAAUAUUGGACAAUGGGGGAAACCCUGAUCCAGCAAUGCCGCGUGAGUGAAGAAGGCCUUAGGGUUGUAAAGCUCUUUCGCCCGCGAAGAUAAUGACGGUAGCGGGAGAAGAAGCCCCGGCUAACUCCGUGCCAGCAGCCGCGGUAAUACGGAGGGGGCUAGCGUUGUUCGGAAUUACUGGGCGUAAAGCGUACGUAGGCGGAUGCGCAAGUUGGGGGUGAAAUCCCGGGGCUUAACCUCGGAAUUGCCCUCAAAACUGCACGUCUUGAGACCGAGAGAGGUAAGGGGAAUUCCUAGGUGAGAGGUGAAAUUCGUAGAUAUUAGGAAGAACACCAGUGGCGAAGGCGCCUUACUGGCUCGGUACUGACGCUGAGGUACGAAAGCGUGGGGAGCAAACA
rnacentral:rRNA from 1 species